AUACCUUUCUCGGCCUUUUGGCUAAGAUCAAGUGUAGUAUCUGUUCUUAUCAGUUUAGUAUCUGAUACGUGGGCCAUUGGUCCACAUGAUAUUAAAUUUAUUUUUCUAUGGAGAGGGUCCGCAGCAGUAGCUUGCUACUGGGGCUCUCAAGCGUCGCCCAUGCCUUGCACUACUGCAAGGGCCUGGCGCAUCCACC
rnacentral:snRNA from 1 species